GGGGAUUUAGCUUAGCAGCAUAAGCGCCUGCCUUGCAAGCAGGUAGUCGUGAGUUCGAUCCCUGGUACCCA
rfam:Cavia porcellus supercont2_23 genomic scaffold, whole genome shotgun sequence.